UUGCAGAACAUUUUUCACUUUUUAUCUAUAACUUUUAACUCUCCGUCUUAUUAAAAAAAUUAUAAUUGAUAUUUUUGUUUUUAUUAGAUGAUAAAUCAUAAAUAAUAUUUUACGUGUAACUAAUUUUUUUCUAAUUUCCUGAAAAUUUUUCAAAUAAAACGGACGGUCAAACGUUGGACACGAAAACCGAAG
rnacentral:pre_miRNA from 1 species